rnacentral:rRNA from 1 species
AGAGUUUGAUCCUGGCUCAGGAUGAACGCUGGCGGCGUGCUUAACACAUGCAAGUCGAACGAACCUUCGGGUUAGUGGCGGACGGGUGAGUAACGCGUGAGAAUCUGCCCUCAGGAGGGGGAUAACGGCUGGAAACGGCCGCUAAUACCCCAUAUGCCGAGAGGUGAAAUGAAUUUCGCCUGAGGAUGAGCUCGCGUCUGAUUAGCUAGUUGGUGUGGUAAAGGCUCACCAAGGCAUCGAUCAGUAGCUGGUCUGAGAGGAUGAUCAGCCACACUGGGACUGAGACACGGCCCAGACUCCUACGGGAGGCAGCAGUGGGGAAUUUUCCGCAAUGGGCGCAAGCCUGACGGAGCAACGCCGCGUGAGGGAUGAAGGCCUCUGGGCUGUAAACCUCUUUUAUCAAGGAAGAAGAUCUGACGGUACUUGAUGAUAAGCCACGGCUAAUUCCGUGCCAGCAGCCGCGGUAAUACGGGAGUGGCAAGCGUUAUCCGGAAUUAUUGGGCGUAAAGCGUCCGCAGGCGGUCUUGAAAGUCUGUUGUUAAAGCGUGGAGCUCAACUCCAUUUCAGCAAUGGAAACUAGAAGACUAGAGUGUGGUAGGGGCAGAGGGAAUUCCCGUUGUAGCGGUGAAAUGCGUAGAUAUCGGGAAGAACACCAGUGGCGAAGGCGCUCUGCUGGGCCAUAACUGACGCUCAUGGACGAAAGCCAGGGGAGCGAAAGGGAUUAGAUACCCCUGUAGUCCUGGCCGUAAACGAUGAACACUAGGUGUCGGGGGAAUCGACCCCCUCGGUGUCGUAGCCAACGCGUUAAGUGUUCCGCCUGGGGAGUACGCACGCAAGUGUGAAACUCAAAGGAAUUGACGGGGGCCCGCACAAGCGGUGGAGUAUGUGGUUUAAUUCGAUGCAACGCGAAGAACCUUACCAGGGUUUGACAUCCUGCGAAUCCCUUGGAAACUUGGGAGUGCCUUCGGGAGCGCAGUGACAGGUGGUGCAUGGCUGUCGUCAGCUCGUGUCGUGAGAUGUUGGGUUAAGUCCCGCAACGAGCGCAACCCACGUUUUUAGUUGCCAGCAUUAAGUUGGGCACUCUAGAGAGACUGCCGGUGAUAAACCGGAGGAAGGUGUGGAUGACGUCAAGUCAUCAUGCCCCUUACAUCCUGGGCUACACACGUACUACAAUGCUACGGACAAAGGGCAGCAAACUCGCGAGAGCUAGCAAAUCCCAUAAACCGUGGCUCAGUUCAGAUCGUAGGCUGCAACUCGCCUACGUGAAGGAGGAAUCGCUAGUAAUCGCAGGUCAGCAUACUGCGGUGAAUACGUUCCCGGGCCUUGUACACACCGCCCGUCACACCAUGGAAGUUGGCCACGCCCGAAGUCGUUACUCCAACCCGCAAGGGAGGAGGAUGCCGAAGGUGGGGCUGAUGACUGGGGUGAAGUCGGAACAAGGUA